GCAGACACAUUCCAGCCAAUCAGCAGCAGACCCUCCCUCCCAGACCCUCCCACCUCCUGGACAGCAUCCAUUUUACAUUCAUUGUGAAGCUGCAUUCUUAGUGAGCUGUCCAGGAGGUGGGAGGGUCUGGGAGGGAGGGUCUGCUGCUGAUUGGCUAGAAUGUGUCU